GUUGACCUCGGAUCAGGUAGGACUACCCGCUGAACUUAAGCAUAUCA
rnacentral:rRNA from 4 species